AUUGAACGCUGGCGGCAGGCUUAACACAUGCAAGUCGAGCGGGGGAAGGUAGCUUGCUACCGGACCUAGCGGCGGACGGGUGAGUAAUGCUUAGGAAUCUGCCUAUUAGUGGUGGACAACAUCUCGAAAGGGAUGCUAAUACCGCAUACGUCCUACGGGAGAAAGCAGGGGAUCUUCGGACCUUGCGCUAAUAGAUGAGCCUAAGUCAGAUUAGCUAGUUGGUGGGGUAAAGGCCUACCAAGGCGACGAUCUGUAGCGGGUCUGAGAGGAUGAUCCGCCACACUGGGACUGAGACACGGCCCAGACUCCUACGGGAGGCAUCAGUGGGGAAUAUUGGACAAUGGGGGGAACCCUGAUCCAGCCAUGCCGCGUGUGUGAAGAAGGCCUUAUGGUUGUAAAGCACUUUAAGCGAGGAGGAGGCUACUUUAGUUAAUACCUAGAGAUAGUGGACGUUACUCGCAGAAUAAGCACCGGCUAACUCUGUGCCAGCCGCCGCCGUAA
rnacentral:rRNA from 1 species